GCCCAGACAGCAAGCCAACAUUGAAUAAACAUUGUUUUUCCAUCUGAAUCAUCAUUAUGGUUGAUAUUGAAAUUUCAAUGCAAAAUAAAUGUUGAAUCACCAUUAUCAUAUCGAUGAAAACCUGAUGUUAUUAAUGUUGAUGGCAACAAUAUUGGAACAACAUUGAUCCAUAGUUAUCUUUAUGAUUGAUUAAGCAUUGAUAUUUGGUUACCGGGUGAUCCCUGAAUGUGUUGAAAAGUAAUUGAUUUAUAGUGGACAGAGAAAGGAUGCGGUUGUUGAAAAGUCAUCGAAAUAUAGUUGACCGGGAAAUAUGAUUGAAAAUGCAUCGAAAUAUAGUUGACCGGGAAAUAUGAUAGAAAGUGCAUCGAAAUAUAGUUGACCAGGAAAUAUGAUAGAAAGUGCAUCGAAAUAUAGUUGACCAGGAAAUAUGAUAGAAAAUGCAUCGAAAUAUAGUUGACCGGGAAAUAUGAUUGAAAAUGCAUCGAAAUAUAGUUGACCGGGAAAUAUGAUAGAAAGUGCAUCGAAAUAUAGUUGACCAGGAAAUAUGAUAGAAAAUGCAUCGAAAUAUAGUUGACCGGGAAAUAUGAUUGAAAAUCCAUCGAUUUUUGGUUGACCGGGAGAUCAACGGGUGGUAUACCCAACGUACUGCACCGGACACAGCUCAUUUCUGGACCCUUGGCACAUGCGUACAGGUAAGCUUGCUUAAUGUUCGAUAUGAACCCAGACAGCACAGGCACGCGGUGUGUUUUUAUACAGUCUGUGGGCAGCUGAAGAGACUGGCUCAUUUUCAAAUUAUGUUACCGUUAACUUGUUUAGACAACGGUCACGGUAAAUUAAUGUUAAAGCCUUUCGUGUCCAGCAGUUUCUCAGACGGAAAAUGUAAAAGCGGUUUAUUAAAGAGAAGUCCUGACUCCUUUAUCGUCUUGUUUUUCACUCUUUUACAGGCUUCCAGAAAGAAUCCGUCUCUAUAGUGAGUGAUUAUUGAAUGAGGCUGUACAUUAUAAAUGUAAUGUUUUAACUCGAGAUGUUUGUUUGUGUGAAUGCUGUGUGUGCGGUGAGUUCUGGGCGAGCGGGGAGCAGAGUUGCCAUGGAAACGGCGGGGCGUCAACAAAAAAAAACGUUACUGGCAAGCAGUAAUCUCCAUCUCUUGCUGCGGUUUACGCUGUUUUAGGUAAGUUUAGUCGCUAAAAUCACACAAAUAUGAUAUACAAAUGUUUCUGACAAGUUUCUUACUUGUUAUUGACAUGUUUCAAUUAAAUUUAUUUUAUAGAAAUGGUUUAGUGUCUUCGAAAAAGUCCGUUAGCAUCUAUCUUAGCAGUUUUCAGGUAAUGUUAGGCUAAUUUUGAGCUCUUGUUGAUGAAACUCUGGGCUUUUCAUCAAAUCGUCGUGUGUGUGAGAUAUUUUGAUGGCUCUGUGAAUGUUUUGCUGGUUAUUUGUCAUUGUUUUUUUUUUUUUAGAAAAGGCUGAUUUACUGAAUCGAUGACGUCACUUACACUGAGAGUGUAACGUUAAUCGGCUGAAAACAAGUUCACAUGAGUUUUGAUAUUUCAUGAUAAACAGAUAUUAAUACAAAUUGUUCUGUGAUUUCAGGAGGACAGAAAGAAACUAUACAGAACAAAGUGAAACUCCAAGAUUUUUGAAAAGAAAAUUGGUGAAAUAUAUUCUGAAAAAGGCAUAUUAAUGUAUUUCUUGAGCUUCUUCAGUAAAUCUGUAUUUCUAAGUCAGUAUCUCCCUUCAGAAAUGUGGCUGAAGGGAGAUACUGACUUAGAAAUACAGGUGAACUCAUGAAAAGAAGCUCAUGAAAUACUCAUGAAAGAAGCUCAUGAAAUACAUUAAUAUGCCUUUUUCAGAAUAUAUUUCACCAAAUUUAAGAAGUCCCUGACAUCAAAACAUUGCUUGUUUUGUUCCUGGACUCUUCAGUGAUGAUGAGCAGAGUCUGAGUGAACCUGCUGUCAGACAAUCACUAUUGCACACCAAAUGCUCUUACUCAGCAGAUGGGGACAGCUACCAUCACCGAAUUUUCACCCAAAAGUGGCUGCGCUAUUCGCCAGACCGGGCAGGAGGGACUGGACGACAACUUAUGCAGGCAUCAGAUGACAAUGAAGUGUAAAUAAAGAGUAGA